rnacentral:rRNA from 1 species
UACGUAGGUGGCAAGCGUUAUCCGGAAUUAUUGGGCGUAAAGAGCGCGCAGGUGGUUGAUUAAGUCUGAUGUGAAAGCCCACGGCUUAACCGUGGAGGGUCAUUGGAAACUGGUCGACUUGAGUGCAGAAGAGGGAAGUGGAAUUCCAUGUGUAGCGGUGAAAUGCGUAGAUAUUAGGAGGAACACCAGUGGCGAAGGCGGCUUUCUGGACUGUAACUGACGCUGAGGUACGAAAGUGUGGGGAGCAAACAGGAUUAGAUACCCCUGUAGU